rnacentral:rRNA from 1 species
GACAGAGGGUGCAAACGUUGUUCGGAAUUACUGGGCGUAAAGCGCGUGUAGGCGGCUCGGAAAGUCGGAUGUGAAAGCCCAGGGCUCAACCCUGGAAGUGCACUCGAAACUCCCGAGCUGGAGUCCCGGAGAGGAAGGCGGAAUUCUCGGUGUAGAGGUGAAAUUCGUAGAUAUCGAGAGGAACACCUGUGGCGAAGGCGGCCUUCUGGACGGUGACUGACGCUGAGACGCGAAGGCGUGGGGAGCAAACAGG